GUCCGCACGAGCGCAACCCUUGUCAUUAGUUGCUACAUUGGUUGGGUCGACUCUAAUGAGACUGCCGGUGACAAGCCGGAGGAAGGUGGGGAUGACGUCAAGUCCUCAUGGCCCUUAUAGGUGGGGCUACACACGUCAUACAAUGGCUGGUACAAAGGGUUGCCAACCCGCGAGGGGGAGGCUAAUCCCACAAAGCCAGUCGUAGUCCGGAUCGUAGUCUGCAACUCGACUACGUGAAGUCGGAAUCGCUAGUAAUCGUGGAUCAGAAUGUCACGGUGAAUACGUUCCCGGGUCUU
rnacentral:rRNA from 1 species